CUGGCGGCGUGCUUAACACAUGCAAGUCAAGGGGCCCGCAAGGGUAACCGGCGAACGGGUGCGUAACACGUGAGCAAUCUGCCUCGAUGUGGGGGAUAGCCGGCCCAACGGCCGGGUAAUACCGCAUACGCUCUCUGGGUGGCAUCACUUGGAGAGGAAACAUUUUUGGCAUUGAGAGGAGCUCGCGGCCUAUCAGCUAGUUGGUGGGGUAAUGGCCUACCAAGGCUUUGACGGGUAGCUGGUCUGAGAGGAUGGCCAGCCACAUUGGGACUGAGAUACGGCCCAGACUCCUACGGGAGGCAGCAGUGGGGAAUAUUGCGCAAUGGCCGAAAGGCUGACGCAGCGACGCCGCGUGGGGAUGAAGCAUUUCGGUGUGUAAACCCCUGUUGCCCGGGACGAACAACUGGUUUUGACCAGUCUGACGGUACCGGGUGAGGAAGCACCGGCUAACUCCGUG
rnacentral:rRNA from 1 species